UUUAGCAGCCAUAUCACCCUGCAGCCCAAGACUGGUUGCCCACUGAAGCUAAGCAGGGUUGAGCCUGGUCAGUACCUGGAUGGGAGACCUCCUGGGAAAACUAGGUUGCUGCUGGAA
rnacentral:rRNA from 1 species